rnacentral:misc_RNA from 1 species
UUUCGACUCGAGUCAGUCGUCGAUUGAGGCUUGCCGGACGAUGACGAACGGAGUGAAAAGGGCGAAGCUGGUGCCGGCCAGCGACGCACCUUCGAAUUCAUCAUCGUCAUCAUCAUCCGCGGAAAUGUCGACGAUGGCGAAAAAUAACAGCAAUAAGAGUAAUUCGAAGAGUACAAAGAAGCGGGAAACCUUCGAUCCGAUGGCAGUUACUUGGAUGGAAAAGUACAGCGAUCAGAUGGAGAAGAUCUGGAGCCGAUUGCCGAAUUUCGUAGGUUCCGCGAUCGCUACUUGCGCGAUAUUUCUUCUCGGCGCGACGAUGCGCGGUGAAUGGCUGUUAGUUGUGGUGCAUUUUGCGAAGCACCUUGGCUAUGGAACGGUGGAAAAGAACGGAACAAGCGGCGAAGAUGAGACGUCAGCGUCGGUUGACUGGGCCAAAAUAUCGCUGGAGAAUUUCUACUUGCAAAAUUUGUCAUGGUAUUGGGUCGCAGCGUGCUCCGUGUCCUACACGAUGUACUUUGCCAUUGGCGGUUUUCUCCAUUGGUACUUCUACGUCCGCCAACGGGACAAGGCAGAGGAAUGGAAGUGCCAGCCGCAGAAAUGGAUAACGCCGGAGCUGGAGCGUCACGAGAUAAUAAUCGGAACGAUCAGCCUUCUCUUGACGAGCACAUUCAGCGCCUGCCUCGCCUGUUACAUCAGUAACGGGGGUCCCUGUAGCGUCUACUAUAAAUUCGACGACUACUCGUGGACCUGGUGGUUCCUCUCCUGGCCCGUGAUCUACAUUUACCUGGAUUACGCAACGUACUGGCUCCAUCGUAUCUACCACACCCCCUGGCUCUACAAGCACUUCCACAAGCUGCACCACAAGUACAAACAGCCGACUGCCUUCUCAGUGACCGCGAUCCACCCGGUCGAGAUCCUCCACAUUCAAAUAUGCCUCUGCAUUCCACUGUUCGCGCUGCCAACGCACUGGGUGCCGUACUGCACAAUCGCGAUGUACAACUACUACCACGGCAUCAUCGACCACUCCGGCAUCAAUUUCAAGGCCUACUGGUGGCAGCCCUGGCAGCCGGACGCGAUCUUCCACGACAACCAUCACCAAUACUUCCACGUCAACUUCGGCUUCAACUGCUUCAUCUGGGACAAGAUCCACGGCACGUACAGACAGAAGGACCGAAUCUACACCGAGGACACUUACUACGGUAAGGGAAAGCUGAUCAGCGAGGCUACCAGGAACGAAAUCGAGGCUGACAUGGAGGAACGGGAUUCUGAGAACCCCCUCGCCUACAGGGACAACAAACUGAUAUACAAGAUAUCGAAGAAGGAGUUGGAGGGCAAGAAGUUGGAAUAAGUCAGCGCGCGAGUCGUUCGUCGAGAUUUGCUCAUCAAUUUUCAUAGACGGCUGUACGAACGAGUAGCUUUUUCGGCCCACGUUAUAUUGCGGCUAGUCGUCGAAUCACUGCGGGAUAUUUGGGACAACUAUAACUCGUGCCCAGUUCGUCUCAAGCUUUUUGUCAACGAUCUAUGUUAUUUAAAUUCUUGCAAUAUACCGGGAUCACCGACGUCGGUGUGAUAAUUAUUUUCUAUAGAUAUAGUUAGUGAUAUAGUUGGACUAAAAUGUAAUAUUUUUAGAUACCAGGGUAUUGACAUAUUGUAAUUAACAAAGCGAUUAAUAUUGUAAUUAGUAAUUAUCACGGUAAGAAAAUUUACUGUGAAUCAACAGAUAGAUAUCAUUUAGUUGUAAUCGAAGAGUGAAAUAAACGAAAUCAAAUUGUAA